rnacentral:rRNA from 1 species
UACGUAGGCAGCAAGCGUUGUUCGGAAUUACUGGGCGUAAAGAGUGUGUAGGCGGUGCUCUAAGUUUGGUGUGAAAUCUCCCGGCUCAACUGGGAGGGUGCGCCGAAUACUGAAUGACUCGAGUGCGGGAGAGGAAAGUGGAAUUCCUGGUGUAGCGGUGAAAUGCGUAGAUAUCAGGAGGAACACCGGUGGUGUAGACGGCUUUCUGGACCGUAACUGACGCUGAGACACGAAAGCGUGGGUAGCAAACAGG